CAAAUAUUCCCUUCGUCCGGAAAUACUUGUCAUCAAAAUGGAUAAAAGGAAAUGUAUCUAGACGUAUUUUAGUUUUAUAUACAUCUCUUUUUAUCCAUUUUUAUGACAAGUAUUUUCAGAUGGAGGGAGUAGAAA
rfam:Triticum aestivum genome assembly, contig: Triticum_aestivum_CS42_TGACv1_scaffold_581558_7BL